rnacentral:rRNA from 1 species
AUACGGAGGGUGCAAGCGUUGUUCGGAAUUACUGGGCGUAAAGGGCGCGCAGGCGGUUUGGUAAGUCAGAUGUGAAAGUCCAGGGCUUAACCCUGGAAGUGCAUAUGAAACUGUCAGACUUGAGUAUCAGAGGGGAAAGUGGAAUUCCCGGUGUAGAGGUGAAAUUCGUAGAUAUCGGGAGGAAUACCGGUGGCGAAGGCGACUUUCUGGCUGAAUACUGACGCUGAGGCGCGAAAGCGUGGGGAGCGAACAGGAUUAGAUACCCGGGUAGUCC